rnacentral:rRNA from 1 species
AACUUUCAACAACGGAUCUCUUGGUUCUGGCAUCGAUGAAGAACGCAGCGAAAUGCGAUAAGUAAUGUGAAUUGCAGAAUUCAGUGAAUCAUCGAAUCUUUGAACGCACAUUGCGCCCCCUGGUAUUCCGGGGGGCAUGCCUGUUCGAGCGUCAUUACAACCCUCAAGCUCUGCUUGGUAUUGGGUGUCACCCCCGGGUG